GGGGAUGUAUUGGCAUUCGACAGGAUGAUACAAGAAUGCUGUAAUUGCAAUCAGGGGAUUGUACUGUCUCCCCUUAUAUCCGUCAGUACACUAUAGAUGCUAACAAUGAAUUUGUAGCUAAAGCAGCUGCUAGAGUUCGUGCACUACAAUUUGGUAACAAAUUGGCACCUUCAAUGGCAACUGUCUAGUCUGAACAAUUUUCGGACUUCGUUUACUAAGCUGACACCUGAUGGGCUUAUGUAGGCGUAAUUUAUCAGGUUAGGGUAAAGUAAAUUUCUUCGUUACUUUGUCCGAAACUUUUGAAGAUAUGUGGAUCGCGUUUUUUGUUCCUUCUCAAUGCGUUUCGCUGAAAAUUUUAAAAGGAACUAUGAUUGUAGACGUUGCAGGUUCUCAUCUCUGGACCCGGGUUCAACUCCCGGCAUCUCCACCA
rnacentral:tmRNA from 1 species